ACGUCUACGAACGUAGACAUGGCCGACACGAGUUAGUGUAGUAUCCGUUCUUAUCAGCUUAAUACCUGAUACGGGUUGUAUUUGUACCCAAGACCUUAAACUUAAUUUUGCAAGCUGGCGGAGUGUUUGAAGCCUGCUUCGCCUCCGCCGUGGGUCCGCCCGGUAUAGCACCAUCUCCGGUAUCAACUCACGUUUU